rnacentral:rRNA from 1 species
GGAGGGUGCAAGCGUUGUUCGGAAUUAUUGGGCGUAAAGAGCGUGUAGGCGGUUCGGUAAGUCAGAUGUGAAAGCCCUGGGCUCAACCCAGGAAGUGCAUUUGAAACUACCAGACUUGAGUACGGGAGAGGAGGGGGGAAUUCCCGGUGUAGAGGUGAAAUUCGUAGAUAUCGGGAGGAAUACCAGUGGCGAAGGCGCCCUCUGGACCGAUACUGACGCUGAGACGCGAAAGCGUGGGGAGCAAACAGGAUUAGAUACCCUGGUAGUCCACGCCGUAAACGAUGAGCACUAGGUGUAGCGGGUAUUGACCCCCCUGCUGUGCCCGUAGCUAACGCAUUAAGUGCUCCGCCUGGGGGACUACGGUCGCAUGACUA